GCCUGGCUGGCUCAGUUGGUAAAGCAUGUGACUAUUAAUCUUGAGGUCGUGAGUUCAAGCCCCACAUCAGGCU